rnacentral:rRNA from 1 species
GAUGAACGCUGGCGGCGUGCCUAAUACAUGCAAGUCGAGCGAACAGAUAAGGAGCUUGCUCCUUUGACGUUAGCGGCGGACGGGUGAGUAACACGUGGGUAACCUACCUAUAAGACUGGAAUAACUCCGGGAAACCGGGGCUAAUGCCGGAUAACAUGUUGAACCGCAUGGUUCUACAGUGAAAGGCGGCUUUGCUGUCACUUAUAGAUGGACCCGCGCCGUAUUAGCUAGUUGGUGAGGUAACGGCUCACCAAGGCAACGAUACGUAGCCGACCUGAGAGGGUGAUCGGCCCCACUGGAACUGAGACACGGUCCAGACUCCUACGGGAGGCAGCAGUAGGGAAUCUUCCGCAAUGGGCGAAAGCCUGACGGAGCAACGCCGCGUGAGUGAUGAAGGUCUUCGGAUCGUAAAACUCUGUUAUUAGGGAAGAACAAAUGCGUAAGUAACUGUGCGCGUCUUGACGGUACCUAAUCAGAAAGCCACGGCUAACUACGU